rnacentral:lncRNA from 1 species
AACGUGUUUAACCAACGUGUUUAACUAACCAACCAACGUGUUUAACCAACCAACAAACCAAUCAAUCAAUGCAUGUUUCCGUUUCAUGUGUUUCAUACGGGAUCCAAGGUUUUUUUUUCGCUUGUUUUAAUUGAGCCUAUCCAACCAACGUGUUUAACCAACGUGUUUAACCAACAUGUUUAACCAAAGUGUUUAACUAACCAACCAACGUGUUUAACCAACCAACCAACCA